GGAAACCAGGGGUUCAGACGCUGCUUGGCAACCUUCACCCCGAAGAAACCACGCAGGGGAUGUCCCGUGUAGCACAGAAGAGGCGUGGCUUUGCCACCCUUCUCAAUGCCACGGGGCCCUGCGGAAACCAGGGGUGCGGACGCCGUUCGGAACGUGCGCCCCGAAAAAGCCACGCGGCGGAUACCUCUAGAGCUCCGGAGCCGACGCUGCUGAGCGACGGCCGGCCGGUGCCCGAGGGUGCCGCGGAACAGUGGAAAGAGAGUUACGGUGUUAUGGUGAUCAGCCGCAUAAACUGCACUCUAGACGGCCUUAAAGGGUGAAAAAACCUGUCUUCGUAGUUGCCAGUGAUGAUGGAGCAGUGUCUCACCGAUGGAGGAGUCGUGGGAUGGCUCGUAAACGUGCGGGCGCCAGGGACGCUUUGGAGGGACUAGGAAGAUGAAAUCAAAAGGAAAAAAGGAGAAAGAUUCCCCCUGCAAAUCCAGAUCCCCCCUGCAAAUCCAUGCACCGGUUCAUCUGCUCGGCUGCUGCUGCUUGACGGAGGUUCAAAGCAGAAGUAACUGCCUAGCGAAGAACCAUGGAAACUCAUCAGCUGCAGAGACGAGCAGAUGGCCCAAAGAGCAGAAGAGCGAGCACGCCGAUGUGAACCGUGUCGAGACCGCAGUUGACGGCCGAACGCCUUUGAUCCCGCACGCGAGAGCGAUGAACUUUGGGUUUCGUGUGAAAGAGUAGGAAAAUCGAUAUUGUAAAGCCUCAUUUGUUAAAGUGUGGUGUGAACUGUGUCAAGAUUCAGAAUCCUGCAUGAGAGAUAAAGUCCUGGAAGAUGAAGGUGAAUCAGAGAGAUCAGAGAUGUUAAGAGAGACACCGGGGUUUCUGAUAAGCCCCCGGAAGGGAUAAGGCGAGGCACGUACGACACGAGAGGUACGAAAGGCACGGAAGGCACGGUAGAAAAGUGACGCGACACACCCCGGGAUUGCUCUGUCCUGCGCACCUCAGCACUGUGAGCCAAAGUGAGGCUUUCCCUUGAGGUGGCCUAAGGGGACACAGCUUGGACCGCCACAUCUCCAAAGCUGACUCGAGAAUCCUUGGCCACGAGUGCUGACCUAGCACACCGCUUUCAUGCCCCUCUGUAGGUCUUGGACUUCGACUUAGCUCUCAUAUGCGUGGGGACGAGAAGCCACGUGGGGCACAAGGGAAGGCCGCCUCACCGUCUGGCACGUUUCUGGCAGGCUGUUGUCUCUUGGACAGGUACAAUAAAGAAAACCAAAUAUCAGUGCAAGAUCUUAGCAGCACAUCUGUGAAAACCCAACACUCACGGUCUCCUGACAAUGGCUGGGUCCUUCGCCUGCAUGCUUCAGCCCCGCUGGGAUGCUGAGGCUUGCGGAGCCAAACUCUUCAAGCGGUAUUGCUGUGGAUCCGAACGAACCGCCGCCUUGAUGAGGUUUGGGAGCCUCCCCGGUUGCGGAUGAACGGGCACCCCGGGGUGGGCCGGGGCUGGAAACCCCUGGUUAUCCCACACAAGCGGGACCUACGUGGCCACUAUCUCUUCUCAACUGGCCCUAGAACACGGUGUACUGCCUGCACCUCUCGGGGUUCUGGCACUCUGCUGCUUUAGGAUUCCUGCCUGCAGCUGCCUCAGGGAAAUGGGAGCGCUGUUAGGGCUGCUGUUUAUGGUUGGGGGUGGGGUACAACUGUAUUCUACCGUACCUGUACCCCUUAUUUUCACUGUUUGCUCAGCCUUUUUUUUUUUUUUUGGAACUCUUGUGACAGAUUGAGGGCACUGAGGAGGGACUGCCAAGAUGGAAUCAAAAGGGAAAAGCAGAAAGAUCAGCCCUGCAAAUCCACACUGGCUCACCUGUUCAGCUGCUGUUUCCUGGCAAAAAGCUUUGUCCCUCACCACCUCCUCUGAGCAAUGCUCCAGGUCCAAGUGCAUCCUGGUGCUCCCCCAGACCCUAUGACAUGCUCUCACCGUCAUGUUGGAGUCUGAGAUACAGACUGUGUGCCCUUGUUUUUAAUAUUUAGUUCUAGGAUUCAAGGAAACACAUUCAAUGGUGACACAUGAAAACAAAUAUUAAAGUUAGAUAGGAAAUGUGUAAAUGUGUAGAUUAGAAAGUUUCUUAAAUUACUGGGUGAAAAAGUAGUUUAGAGAACAGGAGACAAGAUGGAGGAUUUAGGGUGUUGUCUCUUGUCCUUCUUCUUUCUUCUUCAUGUUCUUCUCCUAGGGGUGUUUGGGUAGUAGUAGGUGAUUGGGUAGAAAAUGUCACAGUGCAGCACACAGGUGUUGGGUCAUUGGGUUACUAAGAAAAAUAAUUUAGUUGGCACCUGUUAAUUGGGUAAAUGGACAUAUAAAAGACCUUGAAGAAGAUCUUUGUUAGCCAUUUUACCCCUUUUCUAUCAUAGUGCACAUAGCUCCUUGUACCUUGUAAUGCUGAUAACAAAAAAUAAACAACUGAGACCGAACGAGAGAAAACCAUGCUCCCUCUCAUCAAUCUUCAGUUCAAAGGGAAAAAGAACCCAAAUCAAAAAGUCCAUAAAGAGACAAGUGGCUCCCAAACUUGGGGUACUUUGAACUGAAGGCUCCUGUUGAAAAAAAAAAAAGGAAAAAAGAGAAGACAGCAGAAAGCCGGAAAACUCCCUGGAAAGGGGAAAAAGAUCUCGGUAAUCCCGGCGCCGGUGAGAGCGGACGAGCCAAGCCGGACGUCUGUGAGCUGUGGAACGGAUCACGGAUAGAGGAGCUGAGAGAAAGCUGAGCCUGAGGUCAGGUAAGCCGUCAAAAGGGAGCAAAAAUAUGGGAAACGUGUCCAGACCUGAGGGGGAGGUUUUGGCUAUUUUGGAAGCUAUGGUAAAGGAGCACGUGAUCUCUGUGUCCACGGAUGAGCUUAAAAGCCUUCUAUCCUGGGUACAGGUAGAAUUCCCUAACGUGGAUUCAGACAAAAUUUUUACCCCAAGCCUGUGGGAGAAGAUAAAUGUGAGAGUAUAUGAAAAAACCACUCUUAGAGACGAGGUAGCAGCUGAACUUCUAACGGCUUCUGCAGUGACUCAUGAAGUCAUCGCCAGUAAAUGGGACUCUGAAACCCAAGCAAGGGACACGAUGGGUCCAGAAAAACAGAAGGGUUUGUUUCAGUCAAAUGCGGAAUGCUCGUUACCGCACGCUGUAAAGUCUGUGUCAGCCUCCCGGAAAUCUACCUUAGCAAAGAGAAUGUGUAAGCCUGUUGAAAGCCCAGAAAAACAACUAUACAGAGGCGAGGAGGCAAUUCUAAAACGCGGGCAGAAUCUGCACAAAGGGGUCUUAGAGCUUUUGCAAGAGUGUCUCAGUUCUCUUGAAACUGUUCCAGCGCCCGGUCUGCCGGUGCCGGCAGAAGAGGGAGGGGAAAUUUCCUUGGCCGCCUGCGUGCCGGCAGCCGAGUCCCUUUCCGGCCCUAAGGGAGUGGAGUGGACAGCCCUGUCCCCCCUGGGAGGGUACGGGAGGGUUCGGCCCGAGCCAGAGCGGUCCGGGACCUCCACGGGCACGGCGGUCCCUGCGCCCCGC